rnacentral:rRNA from 1 species
UUAAGCGACUAAGCGUACACGGUGGAUGCCCUGGCAGUCAGAGGCGAUGAAGGACGUGCUAAUCUGCGAAAAGCGUCGGUAAGGUGAUAUGAACCGUUAUAACCGGCGAUGUCCGAAUGGGGAAACCCAGUGCAAUUCGUUGCACUAUCGUUAACUGAAUACAUAGGUUAACGAGGCGAACCGGGGGAACUGAAACAUCUAAGUACCCCGAGGAAAAGAAAUCAACCGAGAUUCCCCCAGUAGCGGCGAGCGAACGGGGAGCAGCCCAGAGUCUGAAUCAGCUUGUGUGUUAGUGGAACGGUCUGGAAAGUCCGACGGUACAGGGUGAUAGUCCCGUACACCAAAAUGCACAGGCUGUGAACUCGAAGAGUAGGGCGGGACACGUGGUAUCCUGUCUGAAUAUGGGGGGACCAUCCUCCAAGGCUAAAUACUCCUGACUGACCGAUAGUGAACCAGUACCGUGAGGGAAAGGCGAAAAGAACCCCGGCGAGGGGAGUGAAAAAGAACCUGAAACCGUGUACGUACAAGCAGUGGGAGCACCUUCGGGUGUGACUGCGUACCUUUUGUAUAAUGGGUCAGCGACUUAUAUUCUGUAGCAAGGUUAACCGUAUAGGGGAGCCGCAGGGAAACCGAGUCUUAACUGGGCGUUAAGUUGCAGGGUAUAGACCCGAAACCCGGUGAUCUAGCCAUGGGCAGGUUGAAGGUUGGGUAACACUAACUGGAGGACCGAACCGACUAAUGUUGAAAAAUUAGCGGAUGACUUGUGGCUGGGGGUGAAAGGCCAAUCAAACCGGGAGAUAGCUGGUUCUCCCCGAAAGCUAUUUAGGUAGCGCCUCGUGAACUCAUCUUCGGGGGUAGAGCACUGUUUCGGCUAGGGGGUCAUCCCGACUUACCAACCCGAUGCAAACUACGAAUACCGAAGAAUGUUAUCACGGGAGACACACGGCGGGUGCUAACGUCCGUCGUGAAGAGGGAAACAACCCAGACCGCCAGCUAAGGUCCCAAAGUCAUGGUUAAGUGGGAAACGAUGUGGGAAGGCACAGACAGCCAGGAUGUUGGCUUAGAAGCAGCCAUCAUUUAAAGAAAGCGUAAUAGCUCACUGGUCGAGUCGGCCUGCGCGGAAGAUGUAACGGGGCUAAACCAUGCACCGAAGCUGCGGCAGCGACACUAUGUGUUGUUGGGUAGGGGAGCGUUCUGUAAGCCUGCGAAGGUGUGCUGUGAGGCAUGCUGGAGGUAUCAGAAGUGCGAAUGCUGACAUAAGUAACGAUAAAGCGGGUGAAAAGCCCGCUCGCCGGAAGACCAAGGGUUCCUGUCCAACGUUAAUCGGGGCAGGGUGAGUCGACCCCUAAGGCGAGGCCGAAAGGCGUAGUCGAUGGGAAACAGGUUAAUAUUCCUGUACUUGGUGUUACUGCGAAGGGGGGACGGAGAAGGCUAUGUUAGCCGGGCGACGGUUGUCCCGGUUUAAGCAUGUAGGCUGAUUGUCCAGGCAAAUCCGGAUAAUCAAGGCUGAGGUGUGAUGACGAGGCACUACGGUGCUGAAGUAACAAAUGCCCUGCUUCCAGGAAAAGCCUCUAAGCAUCAGGUAACAUUAAAUCGUACCCCAAACCGACACAGGUGGUCAGGUAGAGAAUACCAAGGCGCUUGAGAGAACUCGGGUGAAGGAACUAGGCAAAAUGGUGCCGUAACUUCGGGAGAAGGCACGCUGGUGUGUAGGUGAAGUCCCUGCGGAUGGAGCUGAGACCAGUCGAAGAUACCAGCUGGCUGCAACUGUUUAUUAAAAACACAGCACUGUGCAAACACGAAAGUGGACGUAUACGGUGUGACGCCUGCCCGGUGCCGGAAGGUUAAUUGAUGGGGUUAUCCGUAAGGAGAAGCUCUUGAUCGAAGCCCCGGUAAACGGCGGCCGUAACUAUAACGGUCCUAAGGUAGCGAAAUUCCUUGUCGGGUAAGUUCCGACCUGCACGAAUGGCGUAAUGAUGGCCAGGCUGUCUCCACCCGAGACUCAGUGAAAUUGAACUCGCUGUGAAGAUGCAGUGUACCCGCGGCAAGACGGAAAGACCCCGUGAACCUUUACUAUAGCUUGACACUGAACAUUGAGCCUUGAUGUGUAGGAUAGGUGGGAGGCUUUGAAGCGUGGACGCCAGUCUGCGUGGAGCCAACCUUGAAAUACCACCCUUUAAUGUUUGAUGUUCUAACGUUGGCCCCUUACCGGGGUUGCGGACAGUGUCUGGUGGGUAGUUUGACUGGGGCGGUCUCCUCCCAAAGCGUAACGGAGGAGCACGAAGGUUAGCUAAUCCUGGUCGGACAUCAGGAGGUUAGUGCAAUGGCAUAAGCUAGCUUGACUGCGAGCGUGACGGCGCGAGCAGGUGCGAAAGCAGGUCAUAGUGAUCCGGUGGUUCUGAAUGGAAGGGCCAUCGCUCAACGGAUAAAAGGUACUCCGGGGAUAACAGGCUGAUACCGCCCAAGAGUUCAUAUCGACGGCGGUGUUUGGCACCUCGAUGUCGGCUCAUCACAUCCUGGGGCUGAAGUAGGUCCCAAGGGUAUGGCUGUUCGCCAUUUAAAGUGGUACGCGAGCUGGGUUUAGAACGUCGUGAGACAGUUCGGUCCCUAUCUGCCGUGGGCGCUGGAGAAUUGAGGGGGGCUGCUCCUAGUACGAGAGGACCGGAGUGGACGCAUCACUGGUGUUCGGGUUGUCAUGCCAAUGGCACUGCCCGGUAGCUAAAUGCGGAAGAGAUAAGUGCUGAAAGCAUCUAAGCACGAAACUUGCCCCGAGAUGAGUUCUCCCUGAGACUUUAAGUCUCCUGAAGGAACGUUGAAGACGACGACGUUGAUAGGCCGGGUGUGUAAGCGCAGCGAUGCGUUGAGCUAACCGGUACUAAUGAACCGUGAGGCUUAACCU